AGAGUUUGAUCCUGGCUCAGGAUGAACGCUAGCGGCAGGCAUAAUACAUGCAAGACGAACGGUAAGCUUUGUAGCAAUAUAGAGCCUAGAGUGUCGUACGGGUGCGUAACACGUAUGCAACCUACCUUGUACAGGAGUAUAGCUCCCCGAAAGGGGAAUUAACCCUCCAUAAGAUCGUAUUCAGGCAUCUGGAAGCGAUAAAAACUGAGGUGGUACAAGAUGGGCAUGCGUCUGAUUAGUUAGUUGGCAGUGUAACGGACUACCAAGACGAUGAUCAGUAGGGGACCUGAGAGGGUGAUCCCCCACACUGGCACUGAGAUACGGGCCAGACUCCUACGGGAGGCAGCAGUAGGGAAUAUUGGACAAUGGGUGAGAGCCUGAUCCAGCCAUGCCGCGUGCAGGAAGAAGGCGUUAUGCGUUGUAAACUGCUUUUGCCAGGGGAUAAAACGGUUCUGCGGAACUAAUUGAAGGUACCUGGUGAAUAAGCCACGGCUAACUACGUGCCAGCAGCCGCGGUAAUACGUAGGUGGCAAGCGUUGUCCGGAUUUAUUGGGUUUAAAGGGUGCGUAGGCGGCCCUGUAAGUCAGUGCUGAAAUAUCCCGGCUUAACCGGGAGGGUGGCAUUGAUACUGCAGGGCUUGAGUACAGAUGAAGUAGGCGGAAUUGACGGUGUAGCGGUGAAAUGCAUAGAUAUCGUCAAGAACACCGAUAGCGAAGGCAGCUUACUAAGCUGUAACUGACGCUGAGGCACGAAAGUGUGGGGAUCAAACAGGAUUAGAUACCCUGGUAGUCCACACCGUAAACGUUGAUGACUCGAUGUUGGCGAUACACAGCCAGCGUCUUAGAGCAAUCGUUAAGUCAUCCACCUGGGGAGUACGCCGGCAACGGUGAAACUCAAAGGAAUGACGGAAGGGCGA
rnacentral:rRNA from 1 species